GCGGCCGUGGCCUAACGGUUAUCGCGCUUGCCUCCCACGCAAAGCGCCGGGGUUCGAUUCCUGGCCGCGGCUACA
rnacentral:tRNA from 1 species